UACGUAGGGUGCGAGCGUUGUCCGGAAUUACUGGGCGUAAAGAGCUCGUAGGUGGUUUGUCGCGUUGUUCGUGAAAACUCACAGCUCAACUGUGGGCGUGCGGGCGAUACGGGCAGACUGGAGUACUGCAGGGGAGACUGGAAUUCCUGGUGUAGCGGUGGAAUGCGCAGAUAUCAGGAGGAACACCGGUGGCGAAGGCGGCCGGCUGGGGGUGACCUGACGCUGAGGCGCGAAAGCGUGGGGAGCGAACCGG
rnacentral:rRNA from 1 species